rnacentral:rRNA from 1 species
CCCAUGGCGAGUAAUGUCGCCAUAUCUUUAUCCGUAAGAGAUAAAGGAGCAAACCCGGGGAAGUAAAACAUUUCAGUACCCGGAGGAAAAGAAAAAAAGAAUCAAUCUAUUAUUCAUGGGUCCGGAUAGUCGGGCUAAUGAAUAAUAUUUUGAUAAUAUUCCCCCAGUAGCGGCGAGCGAAAAGGGAGGAGUCCAAACCCAUCCGAUACUUUCGCAAGAAAGUAACGGGUGGGGGUUGUAAGGAAUAAUCGUUCUUGUAGCAAUACAAGAGGAAAGUCUAUAAACUUCCACCCUUCGGGUGGUCGCCCGCAGGGGCGAAAAAAUUGAUUAGUUGAACGGUUUUGGAAAAGCCGACCAAAGGGGGUAAUAGUCCCGUAAGCGAAAAUCUUUUUAAUACUUUCUGGUUAUUUUCUUGAGUACCGCGGGGAAAGACUGCCCCGCGGGAAGCCGGGAGAACUACACUCCCAAGACUAAAUACUUUUUGUGACCGAUAGUGAACUAGUACCGUGAGGGAAAGGUGAAAAGCAGCCCGGUGAGGGCGAUGAAAUAGAUCCUGAAACCAUACGCUUACAAAGAGCGGGAGCCCGCAAGGGUGACCGUGUGCCUAUUGAAGAAUGAGCCAACGACUUUAUAGGAACGGCUUGGGUAAACCUCGUUUGAGGCGGACCCGUAGGGAAACCAAGUCUGAAUAGGGCGUUUUUGUCGUUCUUAUAAGACCCGAAGCCAGGCGAGCUUACCAUGGUCAGGUUGAACCCCGCAGAAAUGCGGGGGGAGGACCGCACCCACUAGCCGUGCGACACUAGGGGAUGAACUGUGGUAAGAAGUGAAAAGCUAAUCGAGCCUGGGAAUAGCUGGUUCUCUCCGAAAUAGUUUUAGGACUAGCCCCGCGUGUUUUUUAUUGGAGGUAGAGCACUGGUUGGUAUUGAUUGGCGCAAGCUAGCAAGACCAGUCAAACUCCGAAUUCCAUUAAAAUAACUCGGGAGUCAGUAUUCGGGGGCAAAGCUCCGAAUACAAGAGAGCAAGAACUCGGACCAUCGUCUAAGGUCCCUAAAUUUUGGCUAAGUGUAGAAGGAAGUGAUGCGUCGAAGACAAAUAGGAGGUUGGCUUAGAGGUAGCCAUCCUUUAAAGAGUGUGUAACAACUCACUAUUAUAUUUCCCUUUGGGAGAUUGACGCAUCGCGCCGAAGAUAUAACGGGACUAAGCCAGAUACCGAAGACAUGGGUUUGCGAAUUUUAAUUCGCAAGCGGUAGGAGAGCGUUUUUAGCGCAGCGAAGAUUGACCCGUGAGGUUUCCUUGGCAAUGAAAAUCAGCCAAGGGUUAGGCGGUCCUAAGGCAAUGGAGAAAUCCGCAGCCGAUGGACAGACGGUUAAUAUUCCGUCCCUAUCUCAAGCGCUUUUACGGAAUGACGAAGUUUAGUAUGCCGGGCGCCUUAUUGGAUUGGCGUUCUUUGCAUCAGAGUUUUUGGAAGGCAAAUCCUUCCAAAUGCGUUUAAUCGCAAACUUAAGUGUCGAGAAAAUUUUCCCGUUCGCGGGAAGAAAUUUGGCAAAGCAAGCUUCCAAGAAAACUUUCGUAAAUUAGCUUGAGGUAUCCGUACCGAAAACCGACACAGGUGGGCAGGGCGAGCAGCCCACAGCGAACGAGUGAUCCGUGGUUAAGGAACUCGGCAAAAAAGCGGCCGUAAGUUAGCGAUAUGGCCUGCCCCGCUUAGCGGGGCCGCAGCUAAAGAUUCCCUGGCGACUGUUUAUCAAAAACACAGCUCCCUGCUAACUCGCGAGAGGAUGUAUAGGGGGUGAUGCCUGACCUAUGCGAGAAGGUUAACGGCGGAUGUGGUAUUCCCAGCAAUGGAGAUAUUGCUGAUGCCCGAAGCCCUCGUAAAUGUCAGCGAUAACUAUAAUCGUUCUAAGGUCAUGCUUUUGUUGAUUUAUCAAGGAAGGCAUGAGGACUGGAACGAUUAUAAUAAUGAAAAAAAACGCUGCCUAUUCUAAUGAAAAUUAGAAUGUCUAAAAAUUUUCGGCUAUAUGCUGGAAAAUCUGUGGAUAAAAUCCUCAAGUAUCCGAAACUACUAUGGUAUAAUGCGUCCAUAUAAAUAUGGCGAAAAUAUCAAGUAAAAAAGUUAUCGGCGCAGAUAAUCAGCAGGAAAGGCUAAAAAUUGCUUGGUGGAUUUGCGGUUUUGUUGAUGGAGAAGGUUGUUUUUCGGUAAGUAUAAUCAAAAACAAAACUACCAAAUCGGGAAUUCAAAUUUUUCCAGAAUUUGUCGUAACGCAAGGAGCAAAAAGUUUGUUCGCGCUCAAAAAAAUUAAAAAUUUCUUUGAUUGCGGCAAUAUUUUUGUGAAUAAGCGUUAUGACAAUCACAACGAAAAUCUUUACAGAUAUUGUGUAAGAUCUUUGGAGGACUUAAAGACCAAGAUUAUUCCAUUUUUUAUGGAAAAUAAUCUGAAAACUUAUAAGCGAAAGGAUUUUUCAAUUUUUAAAGAUGUUGUGAGAAUAAUGCUUCAGAAAAAGCACCUAAAUGAUUCCGGUAGAAAUAAAAUUCUUUCUUCAAUCGGUAAAAUGAACAGAAGAAAAAAGCGAUUUUAGAAUCCUCACAGACCAUAUGCCGAACCCUGAGUUUAUCGAAGGGAAGAUAUGGUCGGGACUUUAUGGCGACAUAAAGAUUAACAAAAUCAAGCGUAAUUCCUUGUCUGGUAAGUUCAGACGUGCACGAAAGGCCUAACGACUGGGGAACUGUCUCAACCAC